AUUGAACGCUGGCGGCAGGCUUAACACAUGCAAGUCGAGCGGGGGAGGUUGCUUCGGUAACUGACCUAGCGGCGGACGGGUGAGUAAUGCUUAGGAAUCUGCCUAUUAGUGGGGGACAACAUUCCGAAAGGAAUGCUAAUACCGCAUACGCCCUACGGGGGAAAGCAGGGGAUCUUCGGACCUUGCGCUAAUAGAUGAGCCUAAGUCGGAUUAGCUAGUUGGUGGGGUAAAGGCCUACCAAGGCGACGAUCUGUAGCGGGUCUGAGAGGAUGAUCCGCCACACUGGGACUGAGACACGGCCCAGACUCCUACGGGAGGCAGCAGUGGGGAAUAUUGGACAAUGGGCGGAAGCCUGAUCCAGCCAUGCCGCGUGUGUGAAGAAGGCCUUUUGGUUGUAAAGCACUUUAAGCGAGGAGGAGGCUCUUAAGGUUAAUACCCUUGAUGAGUGGACGUUACUCGCAGAAUAAGCACCGGCUAACUCUGUGCCAGCAGCCGCAGUAAUAC
rnacentral:rRNA from 1 species